UACAGAGGUGGCAAGCGUUGUUCGGAAUUACUGGGCGUAAAGGGCGCGUAGGCGGCCUUCUAAGUCAGACGUGAAAUCCCCCGGCUUAACCUGGGAACUGCGUCUGAUACUGGGAGGCUUGAGUAUGGGAGAGGGAUGUAGAAUUCCAGGUGUAGCGGUGAAAUGCGUAGAUAUCUGGAGGAAUACCGGUGGCGAAGGCGGCAUCCUGGACCAAUACUGACGCUCAUGUGCGAAAGCGUGGGGAGCAAACAGG
rnacentral:rRNA from 1 species